rnacentral:lncRNA from 1 species
GGGGUUGUUUCGGUCCCCUCCGCACCAGAACAGCUUGGGAGGACAGAGUGGCUGAACCAGUGCACAGCCAGCCUGGUUGUUCCAGGGCUCAGGCAGUGGCAGACCUCCAGAGCUCGAGUGGAGGAACCAGGAGCCCAUAUCUUGAAAACUCACACACAGUUGUGAGUGCUCCACAGAGCAGAGAGUUUGGUGUGCCCUGUGGAUGCUUUCUGUAGCAGGAAUUGCCUGUCUGUUUACAAUUCCCAUUCCAACAGGCCAGCUAACUUGAGGGCACAGAGACCAUGACAUGGUAAUUUUUUUCCUAACGCACAGAGGCUGUGCACCAGCACUGCUGAUGGAGACCACCGAGAUGAUUCCAGAAAUGUUUUGUAGUCAGCGAGUUUGAAACAGGGAGUGAUGCUGGAGCGGGAGGGCUCUACGUGGCAUGGCUUAAUCCUGUGCCUUUGAAACAAAACUGUUUUAGCAAAACCACACUAUUCUCAUGAGGGCUGUUGGUGGUGGUUCUCUGAGAUCUCGCUUUGAUCUGUUAAUGUUUAUUUGUAGUCCAGCCAUUUUUAACAUAUGCUUCUGAGGAGGUGACCUGAUAGAUACUGAGAGAGUUCCCUGGCGCCACUGAGAAAAUCAAGUCCUUUUUUCAGCCAUGUUUAGGCAUACGUUUGUAUCUUACAUGUCUUUAUUACUAACAGUUAAGUAUCUUGUUCACCAUGUUCUGUUAAAUUCCUUUUUUACUAUAAUGGAAAAGGAGCACCUGGAGUUAAUCAGUAACUUUUACUUCAGGUGCCUUAUGGACUAGGAGGACACUUUCAAAGGCCUCUGGGUAGGGAAACAGAGCUCUGGACAAGCUUCUCUCCUCUGGGUAUGGAGGCAGCCUGAGGAAAGUCAUCUGUUGUGCAUGGAAUUAGCCUUCAGAGAUACUUUCUCCACAGCACAGUGGGAAUUUGGGACUGCCUGCUUUGAAGACCUUUCCAGUCCUGCACCCCUUCAAAUUCCCUGCUCCCUCUAUAUCUAUGUUGUCCAGUCAUCUGUUUUGAAUGUAGGUAUCUCAAAUGCAUCUGUUUUGUGCAUUAGGACCUGAUACUUGUGAAGAACUAUGUUAAACUUUCUUGCUCUGCCUUCUUUAAAACAGGAUUAAACAUUUCUGCUGGCCGAGCAGCUGAUGCCAUUCUGGCAAGCUGUGACCCUCAGUCCUCCACAGCACUGAACCUUUCUGCCUUGUCUGUUUCUUCUCAGCCUGCUCAAAGUGUGCUUUUGAGUGAUUUAUGAGUAGUUUAUAUGAGUAGUAUAUUUAUUUAUGAGUAGUUUAGUAUGCCUUACAAAUGAAACAUUAAAAUUCCAGCAGGUGUCUUUAAAAGCUUGUUUCUGAGCUGGUUUCUUGUGCUGAUUCAGU